rnacentral:rRNA from 1 species
GGGUGAACCUGCGGAGGGAUCAUUACGGAGUUUACAACUCCCAAACCCCUGUGAACAUACCAAUUGUUGCCUCGGCGGAUCAGCCCGCUCCCGGUAAAACGGGACGGCCCGCCAGAGGACCCCUAAACUCUGUUUCUAUAUGUAACUUCUGAGUAAAACCAUAAAUAAAUCAAAACUUUCAACAACGGAUCUCUUGGUUCUGGCAUCGAUGAAGAACGCAGCAAAAUGCGAUAAGUAAUGUGAAUUGCAGAAUUCAGUGAAUCAUCGAAUCUUUGAACGCACAUUGCGCCCGCCAGUAUUCUGGCGGGCAUGCCUGUUCGAGCGUCAUUUCAACCCUCAAGCCCAGCUUGGUGUUGGGACUCGCGAGUCAAAUCGCGUUCCCCAAAUUGAUUGGCGGUCACGUCGAGCUUCCAUAGCGUAGUAGUAAAACCCUCGUUACUGGUAAUCGUCGCGGCCACGCCGUUAAACCCCAACUUCUGAAUGUUGACCUCGGAUCAGGUAGGAAUACCCGCUGAACUUAAGCAUAUCAAUAA